rnacentral:rRNA from 1 species
UACAGAGGGGGCAAGCGUUGUUCGGAAUUACUGGGCGUAAAGGGCGCGUAGGUGGCCUUCUAAGUUGAACGUGAAAUCCCUGGGCUCAACCCAGGAACUGCGUCCAAGACUGGGAGGCUUGAAUCCGGGAGAGGGACGUGGAAUUCCAGGUGUAGCGGUGAAAUGCGUAGAUAUCGGAAGGAACAUCAGUGGCGAAAGCGGCUUCCUGGACCAGUACCGACGUCAGGCACGAAAGCGUGGGGAGCAAACAGG